GGGGUUGUGGCUCAGUGGUAGAGUGCUCGUCUAGCGCUUGUGAGACCCUGGGUUCGGUCCUCAGCACCACA
rnacentral:tRNA from 1 species